rnacentral:rRNA from 1 species
GGCGCCUGAGAGAUAGCGACUAUGUCCACGGGCAGCAGCAGGCGCGAAACUUACCCACUCGAGACUUUCGGAGGUGGUAAUGACCAGUUCUAUCUUCGGCCACUAGGCUGGGAUGGGUAGGAUGUCGCUUUUCCAGCGGCGUGAAAUCUAGCAGAGGGCCAGUCUGGUGCCAGCAGCUGCGGUAAUUCCAGCUCUGCAAGUUUGCUCCCAUAUUGUUGCAGUUAAAACGCCCGUAGUCUGAAUUGGCUCUCGAAAGAGACCUUAUUCCUUUUAAAGGAGUUCACUGUGAACAAAUCAGGACGCUUAGUGUAUUUUUAUUAAUGAAUGACUCAGCGCAGUAUGAAAUAUUUACCUUAUGGUAAGCUCAAAGAGAGCCAUCGGGGGUAGAUCUAUUCCAUGGCGAGCGGUGGAAUGCUCUGACCCAUGUGGAGAGAAACGAAAGCGAAGGCAUCUACCUAGAGGGUUUCUGUCGAUCAAGGGCGAGAGUAGGAGUAUCCAACCGGAUCAGAGACCCGGGUAGUUCCUACUGUAAACGAUGCCGACAGGGGCUUGUCAUGAUUAAAAAUGGCAGGACCUUAGGAGAAAUCAUAGUUCUUGGGCUCUGGGGGAACUACGACCACAAGGCUGAAACUUGAAGGAAUUGACGGAAGGGCACACCAGGGGUGGAGCCUGUGGCUUAAUUUGAAUCAACACGGGGAAACUUACCAGAACCAGAUAUUUUUUAUGACUGACAGGCUGUGGGUCUUUCAGGAUAUGAUUUUUGGUGGUGCAUGGCCGUUGGUGGUGCGUGGGUUGACCUGUCUAGCGUUGAUUCAGCUAACGAGCGAGAUUAUCGCCAAUUACAUAGAUCUAGACUGCUUUCAAGUCUGAUCUUCUAAUUGGGACUCCCGGCGAUUAAGCUGGAGGAAGAGGGUAGCAAUAACAGGUCCGUGAUGCCCU